GACGAACGCUGGCGGCGUGCCUAAUACAUGCAAGUCGAGCGAAUGGAUGGGAGCUUGCUCCCUGAAGUUAGCGGCGGACGGGUGAGUAACACGUGGGCAACCUGCCUGUAAGACUGGGAUAACUUCGGGAAACCGGAGCUAAUACCGGAUACAUUCUUUCUUCGCCUGAAGAAAGAUGGAAAGAUGGUUUCGGCUAUCACUUACAGAUGGGCCCGCGGCGCAUUAGCUAGUUGGUGAGGUAACGGCUCACCAAGGCAACGAUGCGUAGCCGACCUGAGAGGGUGAUCGGCCACACUGGGACUGAGACACGGCCCAGACUCCUACGGGAGGCAGCAGUAGGGAAUCUUCCGCAAUGGACGAAAGUCUGACGGAGCAACGCCGCGUGAGCGAAGAAGGCCUUCGGGUCGUAAAGCUCUGUUGUUAGGGAAGAACAAGUACCAGAGUAACUGCUGGUACCUUGACGGUACCUAACCAGAAAGCCACGGCUAACUACGUGCCAGCCGCCGCAGUAAAAC
rnacentral:rRNA from 1 species